AGUGAACGCUGGCGGCGUGCUUAACACAUGCAAGUCGAACGAGAACGGGUUAUAGCUUGCUAUAAUUGUCAGCUAAGUGGCGUAUGGGUGAGUAAUGUAUAGGUAAUAUGCCUCUUACUAAGGGAUAACAAAUGGAAACGUUUGCUAAUACCUUAUACUCCUUAUUAACAUAAGUUAAUAAGGGAAAGAUUUAUUGGUAAGAGAUUAGCCUGUAUUGUAUCAGUUAGUUGGUGGGGUAAUGGCUUACCAAGACUAUGACACAUAACUGGUUUGAGAGGAUGAUCAGUCACACUGGAACUGAGACACGGUCCAGACUCCUACGGGAGGCAGCAGUGGGGAAUAUUGCACAAUGGACGAAAGUCUGAUGCAGCAACGCCGCGUGGAGGAUGACACAUUUCGGUGCGUAAACUCCUUUUAUAUGAGAAGAUAAUGACGGUAUUAUAUGAAUAAGCACCGGCUAACUCCGUGCCAGCAGCCGCCGUAA
rnacentral:rRNA from 1 species